UUUUUUCAUUUUCUUUAAUAAGUUGUAGUUGGGCGAGGUCUCUUUUGUUUUAUAGAUUGUUCUUGUUUUUUAUGAGACAUUUUUAAUUUAGAUUUAUUAUCGUUUUAGCUUUACUGUUUGAUUGUUAUGAAAUUUUGAGUUUCAGAUUUUUUGUUUUGAUCCUUUGUUGUGCGAUUUCUCUUCGUGAGAUAUUUUUAAUUUAGGUUUAUUAUUUUUUAACUUGCUUGCAUUUUGUUUUAUAGAUUGUUCUUAAAUUUUGAUUGAGUUUUUUUUUUCUUUUUUUGAUCUUUUGUUAUGUGAUGUAUUUUUAAGCAUUAUUGAUUGUUUUGGAAUUUAGAGUUUUUUUUUUUACUUUGUUGUCUGCUCUCGUUUUAUGAGACACUUUUAAUUUGGAUUUAUUAUUUUUGAGCCUGCUUGUACUUUUUUUUUUAUUAUGGAUUGCUUUUUAUUCGCAGGAGAAACUUUUCAUUUUGAGGUUAUUUUCUUUUAUUGUGUGAGUUUUUUUUUUCCAUUUCUUUUGUGUAAUCGUUUUUUUGUGCAUUUUCGAGUCACUUUUUAAUUUCAAUCAUAGUUUUUUGAAUUAAGGUUGCUUGUAUUUGUAUUAUGGAUAGGGGUGAGCAUGGACACUUGAAAAACUUAUUUGAAAGAUCGAAAUCGAUCGAACCGACACCCAACAAUUGAUUUUAUUAAAAAAUGGUCAGUGGUUAGUUUAAUUAAAAUGUUUCGAAAGACUGACCCAAAUUAACCCAAACCUAACGAAAUCGACCAAAAUCGACCCUUUGACUGAUCUAAACGAUCGAACCGACACCCAACGGUCGAUUUUAUUAAAAAUACGGUUGAUGGUCGGUUUAAUCAAAAGGUUCCGAAAAACUAACCCAAACCUACUAAAACCGACCAAAAUCGACCUGUCGAACAUCGUAUUCCAUUUUUCUUAGAAUAAAUCGGCUAGGUCGGUUUUUGAACCUGAUUUUUGUACAAAACCGGCCCCCCGUCCCACCAAUAUCAUGUCUAAUUAUGGAUUGUUUUUUUUUAUUAAUUCUGGGUUUCUUCUAUGUCUUUUUAUUUUUGGUCAUUGUAAGACAUUUUAACUUAGAUUUAUUCUAUUUUUGCUUGCUUGUGGGAUAUAUUUUUAGGGACAUUUUUAAUUUAGUUUUGUUAUUAUUUUUUGCUUGUUUGCAUUUGUAUUAUGGAUUACUCUAAAAAUUUGAGUUCGUUUUUUCUUUGGUGUGUGAUGUCUUUUUACGAGAUAUUUUAAAUUUAGAUUUACUAAUAAUUUUGAGUUUCUUCUUUUUCUUUGAUUUUCGUUCUUUGUUGUGCUAUGUCUUUGUAUGAAACAUUUUUAAUUUAGAUUUAUUAUUUAUUUAAGCUUACUUGCGUUCUGUGGUAUGGAUUGGUUUUUUUUUUUAAUUUAGACUGUCGCCACGUACCCGAGACGACGCGGAGCGGUCGACAUCCUUAAAAAGUUUUUUUUUUUUAAAAAAAAAGAGGAGUCGCCACCAAUCUUUUUUUACGGUGUGAUUGGACACCGAAAUAAAGUGAAUCAUUUUAAAAUAAAAUAAAAACUGGUCUACGAAAAAAUUAAAGUUGAGUUCGGGAGUCAUUUGUGUACGGGGAAUGUGUUAGCACCCCAUAACACCCGUUUUAGAAAACGGUGGUCAAAUUUAAUGUCUUGAGUAAAAUUUAUUUUUUAAAGAAAGAACAAUGUCUUAUUUCAUUGCUCACCACCCCAAUAUUUGGAGCAAUGAUCCCAUAAAAUAAGUGGGAUACACCCAUUAAUUAGACUAUAUUGGGGAAAAAUCCUCAGCUUAAGAGAAUGAGAAAUUGUCAAAUUCUAUCAUAGGCUAGUCUUCGAAUAAAGUUUUUUUUUUUAAAACAUUGAUUAAAUAUAUUUUCUUUUGGGAUCAAAUCUCGGACUCCCUAAGAUAUUGAUCCCUCACCUCAAGAAUCUAGAAAUAACGGACUCCCAGAAAUUUGUAGAUUCCAUCGUAGGUUUUUUUUAUCGAAAUUGGCGUGGUUAUUAUAAAAGAAAUGUAGAUUAGGAAACCUUAUGAAAUAUCUAUUUAAUUUUGAGUUUUAAAAUAAAUAAUUUUAAAGCAAAAAAAAAUUCUAAAUGGUUUAAAGAGAAAAAAUUAAAAAAAAAUUCAAAAUUAAAUACAAUUAUGAUUAAAAGUAUCUUAAAAUUUCAAGAAAUUUUUAAUGAAAGUCAAAUAGAAAUAAAAAGUAUACCACACAAUAAAUUAGACAAAUAAUUUAGGAUAUCAAUGUAUGCAUAUACUAAAUAUAACAAUAAUAAUAAAAAAUAAAUUAAAAGAAAAGGAAAAGAAAAGAUACAUAAUAACGAUAAAGAAAAUAAGAAAAAAAAAGAAAAAAAAGAACUAAAUGAAAUAAUAAACAAAUGAAUAUGUAAAAAAGAAAUUAAAUAAAUAAGUGAAGAAAAGAGGACAUAGGGAUGAUAGUAAGUUAAAAGAGAUAAAAAAAAAAUUAUGAAAGGAAAUAACUAUAAUGGUAUAAGAAUAAAAAUAGCAAAAUUUUUUUAAAAAAUCAUAAAUAUAAAAAAAAACUAAAUAAAUAAAUAAAGUUAUAUAUAAAAAAAUAAAAAAAAAAAACAAACAGAAGGUUAAAUAUAUAUAUAUAAUAAUAAUAAAAAAAAAUAAUAUUAAUAAAAUUAUAAAUUAAAUUAAAUUUAAAUAAGUAAAUAAAAAAAAAAAAAAAAAAGAAACAGAGGGGUGACGGCAAGGUUUGCCGCCACCCUAAAAGAAAAAAAAAUAUAAUAAUAAUAAUAAUAAUAAUAAAAAGAAAAAUGAUAAUAAUAGAAAUUUUCUUUUCUUUAUAACUUUUCUUUUUCUCAAUUGUUUUAGAGAGAAGAAAAAUGUCAAAAGAUCUUUUUUUUCUUUUAGCAUGAUGAUAAAAAGGUAGUAAAAAUAAAAAAAAAAAGAAAUUUUCCUUACAUUUUUUUUCUUUCUCUUUACAUUUGAAAAGAGAAGAACAAAAAUAAGGAUUCAAUCCCGAAGAAAAUUACUUGUUGUAUGAGAUGCGGAUCAUUGGGAGUAAACCCUACCUAAUGCAACCUCCAACUAAGUUUUUUCUUCCUUAUGGGAUUAGAAUUAGGGUAAAAAAAAAGAUGAUAUGAAGAUAAAAAUAAAAACAAUAAAGCGAAAAAGCUAAUGACCCACCUUUAUGCAGAGGAAUACGUUUCUUUAAAUUCUCUCUAAACACUUUUUUUUCCGUAGAGAUUCUCUCUAAAACAAUUUUUUUCUCAAGACUUUCUCUAAAACAAUUUUUUCUCCCCCUUUUUCAAAUGACAAAGGACUCUAUUUAUAGACUCGGGUGUGCCACAAAUUAGGAAAAUUUAAUAAGUAUAAAAUCAAAUUAGAUAUUAUGUAAUUUUAUUAAUUUUCUUUUUUCUAAAUUAGUAAAAAUAUGAUAUUGAAAGAUUUUGUCCAAAAUAAAUUUUUUGUUUUUUUCCUAAAGUGAUAAAGAUAAGUCAAAUAUGGUAUUAAAAUUUUUUGUAUAAAAUAAAUUAUCUUGCUUUUCCUAAUAUGAUAAAUCAAAAGAGAUUUUGUAUAAAUAAAUUAAUUUUUUUUCCCUAAAGUGAUAAGUCAAAAAAAAAAAAUGAUUUGAAUUUUUUUUAAAUAAUAGAUAUUCUCAUUAAUGACUUUAUUUUCCAUUUUAAUAAAAAGAUAAGAAAAAACAUAAGAUUUCAUAUUAUUACAAAAAGAUUUUACUUUUUUCUUUUUUUAACAAAAUAAAUUAAUGAAAUAUCUUAACCGUUGUUACAAUUAAUAAUUUAAAGAAUAAUAAAAAAAUGUAGGAUAAAAUUAGGUGGCUACAUAGACCUAUUAUUUUUGAAAUUUUGAUUUUCUUCUUUUUCCUUUUUGGUAUUUUUUUGUGCAAUAUCUUUUUACAAGAUGUUUUUAAUUUAGAUUUAUUAUUUUUUAUAGCUUCCUUGUAUUAUGGAUUGUGUCGAAAUUUUGGGUUUUUAUUAUUUUUUGGUUUUUUGUUGUGCAAUGUCUUUUUAGGAUACAAACUUUAGAUUUAUUAUCUCCAUAAAAAGCCAAUUUGACUGAACUUUCGUUAAGGACUUGGGAAUGGUCAAGAGAUAUUUAUCUCGUAAGCGUUUGAAGGAACUUGCAAAAACUUCUUAACCUCAUUCGAGCGGCUGAUAACCAAUCCCAUGAACAGACCGACAGAAAGAAUGAAAUACUAGAAACUUCUCUCAAUAUUCUUUGAACAAGGCAUCCUAUCUUGGCACUCAGACGUAGGAGGAGGAGUUUCUUCCCGCUCCGUGGGUCCCUUUCCCUUGUUCAUUGACUUUUUUUUGCCUUUUUAUUCCCUAUAAAUCAGAGAUCAGGAGUCUUCUCAUGGAACUGAAAUGUUACAGGAUAGGCUUUGAAACUCCUUCGGCGCCUUAUACCCCACUCCGCGGAGCACUUCUUCUUGUUCCUUCCAUUGACUUUUUAUGGAGAGAAUAGAAAACCACUUCAAUUUCCAAAUCUACUAAAAAGAAGAAAGCCUAUCUUUCAAACCUACUAUUUAGUCCUACAAAAAGUACAAGAAAAGCAAGCUUCUUUUUUUAUGCCUCCUACGCGAUGGGAAAAGGUAAUUCAUUAAUGCUAAACUUCCAGGCGAUUAAGGGCUCGUGAAACUUGUUUACAUGCUGCCAACAGAUAUACUUUUGACGAUCGAUUAGAAAGCCUGAUAGGGGAAGAAGUCCUAUAGUCUUGCGCUUCCAAGGCUUUUCGCUAAUCGUACUUCCUUAUCGAAUUCAUUCCCUAAAUUCAUUCCUUAUCGUACUUCCUUAUCCAAUUCAUUCCCUGAAUUAGCUUUGAGUAAUUUCCUACCCUCGAUUCGAUCGAAGAAAAACUACAAAAGCUGAAAGAGCUACAACACGGUCUGAAGGGAACCGAGGAGGACCAAGAAAGCCUGGUAGAAGAUUGACCUCUGACGCGGUGCUUGGCGAUGACCUUGUCAUUUUCGACACUCACCUAAAGGCUACAUUGUUCCGACCCUUUAUCAAGCUGAUUAUUGCAGACAAAGGACCUAUAUAAUCAUGAUUUCUUCCAUUUUCACUUUAUUUUUUCUUUUCUUCCUUAUAGAGGAGUAGACAAUUCAAAAAUGAAACUAAACUAGUCAAUUCAAUCAAUUUUCAGAUAUGGCGAGAGUACGAUGAGGCUGACGAAUGCCUUACUAAUAAGGUGACUUCUUUAACUGCUACGAUUUUUUUUUUUAUGAUUUACAAGAAAUAAAGAAAGUACUACGUGGGCGUCAACUUCCUUGUCUCGCAUUCCUGCCUAUGAAAUAUUCUUUUCACCUCAAUCGGGCGAAUUCUGACCUCUUCGAUCGAUCUCUAAACUCGUUCAUUUUCUGUUCAAAUGGGGAGGAGUUCGAGAUCCUCCUUGAGCAAAUUGAUACACUGAGCUUUCAGUCUUUGUUAUCCCUCAUAAUGGAUGCACGACUUAGCUUCUCAUAUUGUUUAGCCUCAAGCUUGGAUGUGAGGAAGCUCGGCAGGUUGUCCUGAGUUGAGGAGGAGGUCUUCCUAUGCAUUUUCGACUUCAACGUGAUAAAAAGAAGACAAGACUCCUCGUCUGAAAAGGAAGAAAAAUCAGACUCAAACUCCUAAACUCAAAAGUGAAAGCCAGAGGUUUGCCUAACUAGUUUAAGCAGCGUAGCAAGCCUAUCCAAGGAAAGCCUAGCGGUCAAAUCACCCAUUUAGGUAUAGGUACUCACUCAUAGAACUCUCAUCAUAGAGUAUGUGCAGAUACGGAGUUAGAGGAUUAUAAGCGAAGACACGAGACCUAGGGGCCAGAUUGAUCGCCUCAAUGAAGGGGGAAAAGAAAGAGUUGAAUGAUCAGUUGCUGUUAGUGGUACAUAGGUCCUCUUUUGGUGAGUUUCAUAGGUUAUGAAACCUCUUGAGUCUGAAGUAUAUGAGGGAUAGGAACAAAGGAGUGAAGAACGACCGAUCUCAUGAUCUAUUUCAUUCUCUCAUUAUGAAUGAUAAGCCAACCAUACCAUAAUUAGAGGCAUCGACAACUAAUUAAGUUAUCACAGACCGGGAAUGCCUAGGAUCUCACCAGGAAAAGGAGGACUAGCCCUAUUCAUAAUAGAGUGGAAGCGGCUUUCCUUCCCUACCGCCUUCUCAGUCCCAAUUUCAUAGGAUCAAAAUAAAAGGAUGAAGUUUGAGUUCCAUUAAAAGGUCGACUAAUAUAUAGGAUGAAAGUAGAACGAGGCUCUUGUCCAAGGAUUCAAGCUCAGUCGUUGGAAUUAAACUACCAUGAAUCGGUAUGAAGCAGGCUUUACCUAGUUUGAGAGGUCAAAUAAAUAGGAAGCUUUCCCGGUCGGUGUAGGUUAGAAGUCGGAGAGGAAGAGUCAGACUUGGUUCGAGCCCCGUUCCAGCUCUGUAGAUAGGGUAGAUUUCAUUGAGAUCCAUUGGAAAGGAUCAGUGUUCAUAUUGCGAGAUUUGAAGAGGAAGAAAGUAGCUCUUGAGAGUUGGAGAGAAGAGGAGAGGGUAUAACGAAAUAGCUUCAUUCAAAUAGGGUAGGAGCAGCUGAGGCAGCAGAGUUAGAGAGCGAGGCAGCUGAGUGCUAUGACUAUUCCCUAGUAUAAUAGAUUAGAACUAGCCGCCAAACAGAGGAACGAGAUCUUUCAUCAGUCAUUAAACUAAGAAGCAAGAGAGAGGUGUCGGGGAGAAGGGGUUUUUAUAGAAUACAAUAAAAAGGAAUCUGUCCCAGCAAGGCAUCCUUAGAUUCAACUACGAAGGACGAGUAGUCUUCUGGAAUAUAUAUUAGUCGCCUGGUCCUUUGUUUUUUCCAUAGAUUAAUAUGGUCUUAGUUUAUAUGAAUUUCAGAUGUAGAAGGAUCAAAACUCAUUGAAUAAAGAGAGAAGUGGAAUAUGAAUAUGUCCUUAUCAAUGAGACCAAAAAAUAGUCGAAAGAAUAUCGACUAAUUUGAGAGGAAGAAAAAGAAGACAAGAGAACUCCAUAAGAAACUUAGGAAUAAGACUCAAAAGGAGGCUUCCAAAACUACUAAAAAAAUUCAAGCCUAUCCUUUAUCUAAAUCUUUCAUAAGUUUCCUUUAAGCCAUUUACAGGGUAAAGACUUCAAACUCAAAGAAAGAAGGUUCUUCUCCAAGCAUGAGUUAAAGAAAAUGUUUUCUGUAUGUAUCUAAUGCAAGACUCUUCGAUAAGCUCAGGCUAGGAAGGAAGGUGAAUCAGUCCAUUCUCCUUUUCUUUCGCCUUUACCCUCUCGUGCACCCGUCGGGGCUGAACCCUAUACUAAGAUUGUCGAGCCAGAGGUCACGCAACAGCUUCCCGUGGAGCCUCAUGCGGAUCAUCCGCCCGAUUGGGCUCAACCUCAGAGAAAGGUUGACUGAAGAGGAAUCCAUAUAAUAAGGCCUUUCACCGGUUAAUCUCUUCCAAGGAUUAUCAGGGGUGGAAGGGCAAAUUCACGUUUUUAAGGCUCGGGUCGAAGAGCUAAAGAAAAAGGCCUUAGAGCUCCUUCAUCCUCCUUCCAUUCCAGUGGAUGAAGAGUCAGAUGUGGGGCUGGCAAUCAAUCUUCUCUUGGAGAAGAAGAUAGGCAACCGCCCCGUAGGAUUCCUCUCCAAGGUGAUUCAGGCGAUUAAGAAUGGCAAAAGCUGCUUCGCUCCUUCCCUCUAAAUCCUCGAUACGCUCUCUGGCAGUGUGAAUGUGCCCUUCUUUCCUGGAUCAACUCCUACGGAGCUACUAAAUAAAAGAGGUUUAGCACUCUACGGCCUCAUCUCAUUUUUCAGUUGCCCCAUUUUGGCAGCAAUUGCAGAAAGCCUCUUUGCAGCAUCCAUAGCCAUACAUGCAAGUACUCGAUUUCUUUGAUUUGAAUUUGAUGAGUAGCCUCCAUUUAUUCUGAUUGAUGUUGAGAUCCGUGAAUAGUACUUCUUCUUUCAUGAAACUGGACUACUUUCCCUUCUUUCAAUUAUCUUUUUACCAGAGUUGUAGAGGAAUCUCUUCAUAAAGUAGGAAUUGGACGGCUGGCCCAAUUCUGACUAUUAUAACCACGCUGCCACUAUGAAGAAAGAAACUUUGCAAAACCCUUGAACCUAAUCGAUCAUGGUUCAGUCAGCAAUGGAUUCGGUCGAUCAUCCGCGUCACGAAUAGGAUGGCUGGCCUAAUUCUGACUAGUUCUCCACACUACUUUUCUGCAGUGAAAAUACUCUAAUGUCUAUUUAGUGAAAAAACUGGCAGGCUCUGGCUACCUUGCUCCGCAAAGAAAACCCAAAUCACACUGCCUAGAAGAAAGGAAGAACAUUCUUUGAGCCUCUUACGGUCCUCUGAACUUGUUAAUGGAACUUAUUAUAGUGGACGAAGGCAAGACUGAAAGGUGCGAAGCAGCUCGACUAAGAAGAAGUCAAGAACAAGGUGAAAAGAAGAGAUAAAUAAGGGUCAAGACGCCGGAGUGCAAAUGUUCAUUCCUUCAUUUUGAUCUCUUGUCACGGGACUUGUGAAUAGAACUGACUUUCAUAGGAAAGAGUUCUUCCUUAUAUGUUGUCUGAACUUUCUUCUUCCCUUUUCACACCUGCACUCAGAUUGUAGGUGAUGACUGCUUUCUUAGCUCAAAUUUAGAAAAUGCUAGUAGAAGUAAAGGCGCAAAGAAUUUGUGAAGGAGAGUAUCUUUCGAAAUCUUCAUUCCACUAAUUUGAUGGGACUGAAACAUAUUCAAUUUUUUCUUUUUCUUAGCUAAAAUGAAAAAUUUACUAAGUUUUGACAUAGGUUCAAAGAAUUUGAAAGUCAAAUGCCUUGUUUUUCAGUCUAUUUUCGUUAAAUAGAAAGUGAGAAAAACUAACAUUUAGCAAGAAAAAGGUUGAGAAAUAACCAAGUUUGAAAGGCAAAAAGGAUCUCUGAGCAUUUUCUUAACACAUGAAUUCCUUCCUUAUCAAUGAGACUACUACUAGGAAGAAGAAGAGUUAGGAUAUAAAGAAGUCCCGCUUUUUUAGUUCCAUAAAUUAUUCAAGAGGACGCUCCGGAGGAGUUUUUCAAGUUAAGAGGCUUAAAGGUUUAUCAUCGAUAAUCAAUUUCGCUUUUUUAGUGGAAUUCUACGGUCGAAUCAGUGAUCUCUAGGUCCUUGAAAUAUUUGCAAUUACUCGUCUUUUUUCAACUAUUAGAAUAAUAUAAUUAAAGUCUUAGAUUGAGCUCGACCCGUAAAAAAAGCUUAGUCCUUUGAACGGUUCGGAGGACUCAUUCAUUCUUUUACGCUUUUCUUUUCAUUGACUCGUCUGAAGUGCAUUCAAUAAGUAAAGAAGAGCAGGUCUCAGCUUUGCACAUUCGGACCACUCAAACUAGGCCUAUUAGUUCGAACUUGAGACUAAGAGAAAGAUCUCUCGCAACCCAACUCACUCAAAAUGCUUGACAGAUAAGUAGCUUUGCCCACCCAGUUUCAUAGAAAGUCAAGUGGCUUCUUCAUAAUAAGAUAUAAGGAAGGAAACCUUUGGGUUCGAGCUGGCCAACGAGACCAGUAGGCAGGUGGGCGGUAACUUCAUUAGCGGCUGGAGAGGAUAGAAGUCAAUAUUCUUUGAACCCUCCUUCGAAAUUGAAAAUAUGAUGAAUAGUCCUUCUAUAAAUGAAAUGGAUAAACAUAACAAGUCCUUCGGAGUUCUAUAGCUAAAAGAAUGAUCGAUGGAGCAAAGAAUUUGCUUGGAAUGAAUGAGUCGAAAGGAUGUAGGAGGAGUAAAGAUUAUUGAUAAGGAAACUUUUCCAAUCUUUUCAUUGACUGUUAGGAGUAUUAAGAUCGCUUUUCUUAGUUCCAUUAAUCAGUCAAGAGGACGUCCGAAGGACUCUAAAGGUCCAGGUGACGUUUAUCCAUAUUCAGUAAAUAAAUAGGAGUCUGAAGACAUUUUUAGUGGAAGAAUAAAUAAGGGCCCGGACUAGCUUAAUUAUGACAAAUUAACCCUGUACGACUGAGGCACAAAGAAUAUUGCGUGAGUUGAGGUUGAAUUCAUAUUUGUUCCAAUGAUCCCCAUAUUCAUGUUUAGAAGCGAAAGACUUGUUUUAUCCACUAGAAUGAAGGCGAAGGACUAUUUUAGUGGAAUACGUUUUUUAGUGGAAUAAGACUCCUAACGGAGGGGUCCAGAUGACUGUCCAUAUUCAAUAUAGGAAUUGAGUAGAUGAAGGACUAGAAAUCCAUUAUUUUUUGAUGGAGGACUCCUUUGUUUUAAGACGACUGUAGGAUCAAAGAAUUAUCUCAAGAACUAUCGAAGCGAAGGUCCAACUUCAUUCCUAAGGCAUGUCCUUAAUAAAAAACAAGUCAAUGGACCUCGUCAAUAUUCUUUGAGCCUCUUGCCUUCUUUAUCCAUUGAAUUUCAGAUUUCUUUAGUUGCACUCCCUCAGUUAGGAGUCUGAAAACCGAAGGACUCAUUUUCUUUUAGUGGAAUUUCAUUAGUUGCAUUCUGAAGAUCAUUCCCCACCUGAAAUUCCUUCGUUGCACUCCUUCAAGCCUUUGAACGGGGAUCAGUCUUUUUCUCCUUUCAGUCGAGUCCUUGUUCAUUAAUUCAUUUUGAGUCAAGUUAUUUCAUAACCUCUGGACCAGUAUCACUAUUUCAUAACAUCUGGACCUUUGUUUUUGGACCUUUCUGUUUUGAGUCUCGCUAUCUAAGGGCUCCUUCACAGUCGCUUUGCUUCGCGUCUCCGUUCGAAGGACUUAGAAAUCCAUAUUAACCUAUCGGGAGGAAUCCUUCUACACCUUGUUUUUGGAGCGUGGAGGACGAGUCUUAUUCCACUAAUAGUUCCAGGAGGGAUCGAAGAAUUAUCUCAAGAAUGAUCGAGGUCUUAUUCAAAAAGCGCUCCAAAAACAAAGGUCUAGAUGAUUUCUUUAUCCAUUAGUCAUUAGGAGUGACUAGAUGAUAUAUUCACCUUUGUCUUAAACUGCAGUCCGGACUAGCUUAAUAAGUCUCAUAUUCAUUCCACUUGCCACUAAAAAACUCAAAUUGAUGAUCUUAUCGUAUUAUAUCCAUAUAUAAAUUUUGACUACUAAGACUAUAGAAAUUCACUCGCCACGCCUCGCUUGAGAAACCCCAAAAAUCUGAUUCUAUCUAAUUUUUCAUGGUUUGAAGCUUGAUUGACCGCGAGGCUAGCUAUUAGAUUCAAUGAAUUCUAAGUUCUUUUAGGGCUCAAAUGCAUACCCACAUGAAUAAUACGAGUUCCUGUAAAGAGAGUUUCCGCAUAAACCGACUUCUCCACCACCUUCAAUCUCCUUUCAUUCAAGAUGUGAUUCGGGCCACUUGAUCGACUUCGAUUCGCUUGUGCUAUGGGUUCUCAAGCUCAAAGAGGUCUCAACUUCCUUCCUCCCUUUCCACUCUUCAUCCUUGAUCAUUAAUCCUUUGCCUACUCUAAGUAGCCCUACUAUAUCUCUAUUUAUAUAGAUCGAGUUCACGAGGAGGGGGACCCUAGUAUCUAGCUGUUGAAAGGGAAGAGCUAGAACUUCAUAUCAAUGGGGUUAAGGUAGCGAGACUUGAGGUGAGAUCUAAUUGACUAAAUAAAGCGAGAGGGAAAGGAUUGAGUAGGGUACUAAGGGAAGGCGGAUUCAUGAGAUGAAAUUAUAGACGAAAGUUCUCUUAUAUCAGGGGGAUAUGAGGUAUAUAUUAUAUAGGAUCGAUCAGCUAGACCAAGGAGAGGAUCAGGCUCGACUAGCACGGGAGAUGGGGAGCUAUCAGCUACUGGUCUGCUCUCUUUAUUAGGCAGUUGCAUUUUCAAAGAAAUGUUUGAAAAUGCGCACUUCAUUAUCUUUUCCUUCUAAAAGCUCUCACUAAAUAUGCUAUCUUCUCAACUAUUAACCCCUUAUUAAUAUCGAAUUCCCAAGGUCAGGGUAUGUGAUCCUAGGCAUUUCAGCUCCACACUUUCAUUGCCCAUCCUAGGAAUUUAUAAACAAAGAUGAAUAAAUAAUGACGGGGAAGAGGGAAUCCUCCAGUUCUGGUUGUUUUUCUGGCUCUCUCCAUUGGUCUUGAAUCUGGGCACCGAUGGGUUUUUAGUGGUCCAAAGGACUAGUUUGAAAAAUCAGAGCUAUCCCUAAUGUUCUUCUUUGAUCCUCCGUCCUCUUGACAAGUUAAUAUGGAUUUCUGGUUUUUAGUGGACGAAUAUGUAUUCAGCCUCCUACGCCGUAGUUAGAAGUAUUUUAGUGGAAUAAGACUCCUCCUCUGCAGUCGUCCUAAUUCCUUGUUCAUUGAGGAUUUUGAAAAUAUGAUUAUGAGUUGCACUUCUUUGCGCCUAACCGCUCCUUUUAUUUUGAGUCGAGCUGCUUCGCACCCUAUUGUUUUGAGUCGAGUUAUUUCUAAUUUGAAGGGCUCCUUCACAGUCGUUUCGCUUCACGCCUCUAGAUACAAAGUUUAGGGCUUAUGAAAUUCUACUAACCCGACUACGUAGGACGAGUCAGAAAUCCAUAUUCACUUGAAAGGAUUAAAGCUCAUUGAAUCAAAGAAAAAGCUCUAGAUGAGGGAUCGGAACCCAACUAAAGAAACCUAUCCAUAUCCACUAAUAAGAAAAAAAGAGUUUUUAUCCUCAGAAAAGCAAGGUGGAGUAGGGGCAUAAACUGAAGGAGAGGCGACUGAAAGGAGAGUGAGGCCCAAAGAAUUUGUAGAAUGAAAGCGAAAGGACUUAUCCUUCAAAUUCAAUUCAAAGGAGUGCAAAUGUUCAUUCCUUCAUUUUGAUCCACAUGUUUAUAUGGAUUUCAGGCGACUGAGGACAGACUUUGGACCACUCAAACUUCCGCCUCAAUGGACAAGGGCUUUCGCUAGGUUGAAUUCCUUUUAGCAGGUUCCUUGCAUCCCCUCUAGAGGAUAGGCUUUCUUUCUCCCCAAGCCCAUUACGUGGAAGACAGAGUGGCAUCUCAAAUUCUUUAAGCCUUUUCCUUGAACCUUUCGGUGCUAAUAAUCUUUAUGUUAGAUUCAAGCCUAUCUUAUGAAUUGAUGAAAUUUCAUUCGCUAAAAAGAUAGGGGGCUUUAGAAGGUUCUGAGUAGUCUUGUCUGAAAAUAUCCUCUUAUUCUACUAUUAGAAGAAAGUCUAUCUUCCUUUACCACCAAAUCCUAAAGUUUCUUUCUAGACAAAAACAUUUCUCGGUGUCUAGAUGAGGUAUUCUCAAUAGCGGUAGCUUGCAAGAAGAGGGACGAAGUAAGUUGACCUACUAUAGAGGGAUAAUUAGCUCUUUCAGAAGAAGGAAGUGUCCGAAAGUUUAGGCAGAGUUUCUUUAGGUUAAAUUGUAUCCACUGCUCAUUCUACAGGGGCUGAUUGAUGAGACGGAGGUCAGAGCUAGUCUGCAGAACCUAAUACGAUAGAUAAGAGCUACUUUCUGACCCUGCUGCAAGGGUGGGUGGAGAUCAAGACGCCGUCAGUCUAUUGAAUGGACCUUUUUCUCGUAUGUGGAGUGACUUCUGAAAGAGUUAUGCUUCCAACAAAUCGAGUUGAGACGAAGUCCAUUUGUCGACAUACAAGGACGUCGGCCUUCACAAUAUCCUUGUAAGAGGUACUACGGAUUAGUCAUUUGUAAUCUAUUUUUUCAGUUUGUCGUCGUUUUAUUUCAUUCAUCGUCACGAAUGUGUAAUUUAAUUUCAAUCGUUCCCAACAAACUUCUGGUUUUGUAAUUUGGCAUUUGUUGGUUUUGUAUUGACACUACAUUUCACAUUAUGUAGAACAUUUGUAGUA